AUGGAAAUAAACUAUAUUCAAAUUCAAUUUGCAUUUACACAUUCCAACUACUAACAUUUACUCCUCCCACAUUUGAACUACCAACAUUUACUCACCCCACAUUUCAACUACCAAGAUUUACUCACCAACAUAUAUCCUUCAUCUAUUUACAUAAACAUUUGAACUACUACUCACCUUUAACCAUUUUCUUUUUGACAAGCAUUUUGCAAGUUUCCUGUCUAAUCAAACUUCCUGCGUGAUCGACUACAGCAAAAAGGUAACCUUCAUGUGAUAAAAAUAAAUUUAUAAUCUAUUUAUAAAUACUAUUUUGUUAAAAAGUUAUACAAAUGAUCUUCAAAUUUUUUGCAAUUCAAGCUUAAAUCUGUAGUGUCGAGUUCUCCUAUGAUAGUUUAAGGUAGCACACUAAAAUCAUGUUUUACAGUACGACAUGCGCAUAUUAAUUUCUUUUUUUUUUCACCUUAGAAGAUGUCGAAGUGUAGCACAACGCGCUGCGCGGAGUCACUCCACGCUGCGCGGACUCCGCGCUUCUUCAAGGUGGGAUCCAGUUAAAUUCUACUCUUUGCCAGUUAAAUUUCACUCUUUGCCUCUAUUGGAGAAGAAAUUACAGUGGCUCAUGGCCAAAACUGUACGAGAAUUCUGAGAUUGUUUAGUCCCCUCAUGGGUUUCUAUACAAAUUAGCGUAAUCAGUCUUUUUGUUGAUUCUUGUUGGUGACUUUAUUGAUGAAUAAGUUUAAUGAACUGAAAUUGUAAGUUUUAUGUCCUUUUAUUGUGUUUUUUGAGCAAAUUUAACGUCUUUUAAGUAAAAUGUGAAUUUUUUUAUUUUAUUUUUUAUUUUUUAAAAGGUUCCUUUUUUAAAUAAGUGAUGAACCAAUUUAGAUGUUUUAAAAUAGUAUCCAGCUAACAUAUGUACUACAUUUAUGAUAUAUUGUUACAUAAUAAAGUUUACGCUUGUUUGAAUUUGCUCCUGUCUUGAAGAGCAAUUGAACUGAACCAUUGGGAAUUAUAAUUUGUAAAAGUUAAAUUGAGAUUGGAUGGAAAACAUAUAGUUUCAAUUUUGAAACCUAAUUUAUGCCACCAAAUGCAGAAGCUACUAAUGAGGCCGACAUGCAUGUGCAGAAUAAAAAAAUUAUGAAAUACAUACGAUUAAUUACAAUUUCCUCAAAAUAAAUAAUACAGAUAUAAAUUGACGGGUUAUAUAUCAAAUUCAUUAUAAAUUGUUUGAAUUUUAAUUAUAUAAAUUUAUUUAUUUUGUUCGAAAGUAUUGGAAUGAUUAUUAUAUAAUUUUGUUCUUGUAUGUCGACACAGAAUUUUUUUUUAUUCAUUCCUGUAAUUGACUUUACUUAUUUUUAUAGUUAUAUUUUGUUUUUUUAAUAUUAUUUUUUACAAUUAUUUUUCUCCGCUCAUUAUUAACUUAUUCCAAUUUCAUAAAUUCUUGUAUAACAUUUUCUUCAAAUAUAUUGCGUAAUUAUUAAAGUUCACAAAUUUUAUUUAUUUAAACUGUAUAUUAAUCAUAUUGCAAAUUAUAUUGUUCCAUGCAUAUAUUGUACUAUUAAGUUUCAAAUAUGAAAAUCUGAGUAGCUAUCAUUUCCAUCACAAUACAUAUACAGUUUCAGAUCAACGACAAAAAAUAAUGUUUCAAGUUGUAUAGAUAUAAUCUUAAAUUUAUUUUUAAUAAAGUUGUAGUACGUAAAAUAUCAUUCAUCAUAAUAAUAAAAAUUUGCCAGCU
rnacentral:lncRNA from 1 species